UGAUGAAAUGAUGGCAGUCAUCUUUUGAGAAUGAUCUGAAAUGAAGAGAAUACUCAUUGCUGAUCACUU
ensembl:snoRNA